rnacentral:rRNA from 1 species
CAGCCGCCGCGGGAAUACGAAGGGUGCAAGCGUUACUCGGAAUUACUGGGCGUAAAGCGUGCGUAGGUGGUGGUUUAAGUCCGUUGUGAAAGCCCUGGGCUCAACCUGGGAAUUGCAGUGGAUACUGGGUCACUAGAGUGUGGUAGAGGAUAGUGGAAUUUCCGGUGUAGCGGUGAAAUGCGUAGAUAUCGGAAGGAACACCUGUGGCGAAAGCGGCUCACUGGACCAUAACUGACGCUGAUGCACGAAAGCUAGGGGAGCAAACAGGAUUAGAUACCCCUGUAGUCCCUGUCUCUUAUAC